rnacentral:rRNA from 1 species
UACGGAGGGUGCGAGCGUUGUCCGGAAUCAUUGGGCGUAAAGGGCGCGUAGGUGGCCCGGUCAGCGUGCGGUGAAAGCUCGGGGCUCAACCCCGAGUCGGCCGUGCGAACUGCUGGGCUGGAGCACUGUAGAGGCAGGCGGAAUUCCGGGUGUAGCGGUGGAAUGCGUAGAGAUCCGGAAGAACACCGGUGGCGAGGCGGCCUGCUGGGCAGUGGCUGACACUGAGGCGCGACAGCGUGGGGAGCAAACAGGAU